UACGUAGGGUGCGAGCGUUAAUCGGAAUUACUGGGCGUAAAGCGUGCGCAGGCGGUUGUGCAAGACCGAUGUGAAAUCCCCGGGCUUAACCUGGGAAUGGCAUUGGUGACUGCACGGCUAGAGUGUGUCAGAAGGGGGUAGAAUUCCACGUGUAGCAGUGAAAUGCGUAGAGAUGUGGAGGAAUACCGAUGGCGAAGGCAGCCCCCUGGGAUAACACUGACGCUCAUGCACGAAAGCGUGGGGAGCAAACAGG
rnacentral:rRNA from 1 species